rnacentral:lncRNA from 1 species
UCCUUGCAGCCACCUCUCUGGUCAGAAUUAUCUGGGCGGGGAGAUGCGCCCCAGCCGGCAUCCUUCCCGCCUCUACCCGCCUUCCCAGUCCCGGGCUCUCUCGGGAGGCGGCGCCCCUUCUGCCUGCGGCCUGACAUACCAGGAAUAGCUGCACACAAUUGCACCUUUCCGGGCCAAGAAACUUCCCCCGCGGGGACGCGGAGCCACCAGGCCUCCACGCCACUACCCUCCGGCUCCACGGAGCUCGCUGACCGGUCCCAGAUGCUGCGCGGUCCCCGCUACUGCCCCGGCUUCCGGCCGCAGGUGAGGGUACCGGCCUGGGCACUGGCGGCUGGUCCCCUAGUCUGGGCUGGCGUCGCUCCUCCCCCGAUCGCAGGUGGGUCCGUGGGGAAGACCUGUGGCUUCAUUUCCCCUCUCGCCUCAAGGGUACGGUGA